rnacentral:rRNA from 1 species
GAUGAACGCUGGCGGCGUGCUUAACACAUGCAAGUCGAACGGGAUCCAAGGGGUGCUUGCACUUUUUGGUGAGAGUGGCGAACGGGUGAGUAACACGUGAGUAACCUGUCCUUUUCUUUGGGAUAAGCAUUCGAAAGGGUGUUUAAUACCUUAUGUUCUGUCUGCCUCGCAUGGGUGGGUGGGAAAGGCUUUGGCCGGAUUUGGGUGGGCUCGCGGUCUAUCAGCUUGUUGGUGGGGUGAUGGCUUACCAAGGCUUUGACGGGUAGCCGGCCUGAGAGGGUGGUCGGUCACAUUGGGACUGAGAUACGGCCCAGACUCCUGCGGGAGGCAGCAGUGGGGGAUAUUGCACAAUGGGCGAAAGCCUGAUGCAGCGACGCCGCGUGGGGGAUGAAGGCCUUCGGGUUGUAAACUUCUUUUGCUCUGAACAAGGCAUGCCAGUGGGUGUGUUGAGUGUAGGGGUUGAUUAGCGCCGGCUAACUACGUG